AGGUCAAAUUGAAGAUGUUGGAAAUAUUUACUUUUUUAUAUUAAAUUUUAUGUUAUUCUGUUCGAUGUGCAUAAUUAUAUCAAAUAUAUGUAUAUAUAAUAUUCAUACACAAUACAUAUAAUAACAAAGAACAAACAGAGAACCACAAAAUGAAGUGCCUUGUAUUUAUUAGCGUUUUUGUGAUAGUUUUAUGUUGUAUAAAUGGACAAUGGAGAGAAGGUGGAAGGGGUGGUGGUCCUGGACAACCCGGUGAACCUGGAAGACCUGGUGAACCCGGGCGACCUGGAGAACCUGGAUGGGACUUUGGAGGAGGAUGUCCGGGAGAACCUGGUACCCCUGGAGGUCAAGGAGGCACAGGAGGGAGAGGAGGAAGAGGUUGUUAAAAAGGAACUAUAGGUGCUCAAACUAGACGGUUAUAAAAAUAUGGAAAUAUGAACCAGAACGACACAUCAGAAUUUAAAAAUAAAAUAUUUAAAAAACAA